rnacentral:rRNA from 1 species
UACGUAGGGUGCAAGCGUUGUCCGGAAUUAUUGGGCGUAAAGAGCUCGUAGGCGGUCUGUCGCGUCGGCUGUGAAAACCCGGGGCUCAACCCCGGGCCUGCAGUCGAUACGGGCAGACUAGAGUGUGGUAGGGGAGACUGGAAUUCCUGGUGUAGCGGUGAAAUGCGCAGAUAUCAGGAGGAACACCGGUGGCGAAGGCGGGUCUCUGGGCCAUAACUGACGCUGAGGAGUGAAAGCGUGGGGAGCGAACAGG